CUUGAACCCUAUAAGAGGUCCAGCCUGCCCAGUGACUUUGUUCAACGGCCGCGGUAUCCUAACCGUGCGAAGGUAGCGUAAUCACUUGUUCUUUAAAUGAGGACUAGUAUGAAUGGCACCACGAAGGUUAUACUGUCUCCUUUCUUUAAUCAGUGAAACUAAUCUCCCCGUGAAGAAGCGGGGAUUAGCCUAUAAGACGAGAAGACCCUAUGGAGCUUUAAACAUAAGUAACAACUGCCCAUUAAAUUUUUUAAUCUCAGGAGAUUAAUCACAACACUUAGGCACUUUGAUUACAAGUUUUAGGUUGGGGUGACCGCGGAGCAAAAAAUAACCUCCGCAGUGAAUGGAACUUAUCUCCUAAACCCAGGGCUACGACCCUAAGAAUCAAUAAAUUGACACUGAUUGACCCAAUAUUUCUGAUCAAUGAAC
rnacentral:rRNA from 1 species